rnacentral:rRNA from 1 species
GACAGAGGCCUCAAGCGUUAGGCGGAAUCACUGGGCUUAAAGCGUGUGUAGGCGGACUUCUAAGUGCCUUGUGAAAUCCCACGGCUCACCCGUGGAACUGCUGGGCAUACUGGGAGUCUUGAGCCACCUAGGGGCGAGCGGAACAAAUGGUGGAGCGGUGAAAUGCGUAGAGAUCGGAAAGAACACCAACGGCGAAAGCACUCUGCUGGGCCGACACUGACACUGAGAGACGAAAGCUAGGGGAGCGAAUGGG